rnacentral:rRNA from 1 species
CACGCCCUAAACGUUGUACACUAAGUUUUGGGAGAUUCGACCCUCUCAGAGCUCAAGCUAACGUGAUAAGUGUACCGCCUGAGGACUACGGCCGCAAGGCUAAAACUCAAAGGAAUUGACGGGGGCCCGCACAAGCGGUGGAGUAUGUGGCUUAAUUCGAUGCUACGCGAAAAACCUUACCUAGGCUUGACAUAGACUAGACCGGGUAUGAAAGUACCCUUCCCUUCGGGGCUAGUUUACAGGUGC